ensembl:lncRNA
GCACUGUCCCCUCCCCGCUUCCCUCCAUGUGCAGAGCUUAAACUAGCCGUAUUUCUCAUCCAUAUUUCUAAUGUGUUUGUUUUGGGCUACGCUAAGUCUUCAUUGCUGCUCUCAGAGUUUCUCUAGUUGCGGCAAGUGAGGACUCCUCUCUAGUGGCGAUGGGCAAGCCUCUCAUCGCGGGGAUUUCUCUUCUUAAGAGCACGGGCUCUAGGGCUUGUGGGCUGCAGUAGCUGUGGAGCACAGGCUUAGUUGCCCUGUGGCACGUCCUCCGGGACCAAGGAUCGAACCCGUGUCCCCUGCCUUGGCAAACAGACUCCCGACCCCUGAACUACCGGAGAAGUCCUUCUUCAGCAUUUUUAAGUGUGCAGUUUAGUUACUGUUAAGAAUAUUCACAUUGUUAUGCAAUAAAACCUAGGUCUCGAAUGUCAUUUAGAAUAUAAGAAAGUUUCUAAAAAUGUCAGAAAAAUGAAGCCCAGGGUACCCAGGAAACCGUGAGAGAGGAUGGUAUAUAACGCAGACCCUUAGAGCAUUCAGGUGAGAGAGGAGACAGGUAGAUAGGUGGCCCUUUUGCAGGAUGGGCUUGCCUGAGAGCAUCCUAUUCAGCAGCUAAUUGUGAAGCUAGCGUGCAGGGGAGAAAUGGCAGUUUUCUACUUGAGAUUUCUUCAAGAAGUCAAAAAUAGGGCUACCAUCUUGAUAUACCGAUUUUAAAUUUUCCUUAAAGCUCUGAGUGUAGAAUGAGAGAAGAGCUCCAAUGAAAAUUUACAGAAUCUAUUGAUAAUUUGCACAAUUUCCUCCAAACUUUGCCCCAUACUCUGUGGCAUGUAUAGAGUUUCGGAUAUGUUUUGCGCUCUCUGGGUUCACACAAGGGGUGGGUAAUAUUUACUGCUAUUAUUCUAGUUUUCCAAGUGACCUGUAUCUUAUUAUUAUUUAUGAAAAUAUGGGUAUCAACUGCCAAAAAACAUCUUAGUGAGCAAGAAGCUCUAAGUGUUUGAGCCUGUCAAUGAUUACAUGGUUAAAUGAAAAUUUUAAGGUUAAAUAGGUGAGAUUAGCAAAAAGAUUGGAAGUUCUUAGUCAACCCCAAACUAGUAACAGUUCACUGCUUUCUUUUUUUUUCCUUUAGAAAAUUUAUUUUCACAACCCCUUACUGUUUGCACUCAUUCAUAAUACCCACAAAACAGGUUUGAAGCUGCUCAGUCCAACAGGAUGUCAGCGGCAGUUCCAAAGAAGCUAUGGGUUCAUGUUUUACCCAAGGAGAGAUGCUUUCAUUUCCAGCCUUGGAAAUGUAGGACUUGUUUAAUAGCCUUCCAUUUAGAAAGUGCUGCUGAAUUUGAGAAAACUUAGAGAAUGGCUCUGAGUUUCUUAUUCAAAACUGCUUUAGUAAACUUUUGCUUAUCAGUCCUGAGAAGAUGUGUUAAAACCAGCUUGGCAACUUUUUUUUUUUUUUUUUUCAAAUAUAGCAAGCUGGAGGGCCUUGAGAAGAGAGUUUUGAAAUAAUAUCAGUGUUGGAACCAAAACGGAAUGCUUUUGAACAGGAAUCCUCCUAUAUGUCUCUGGGUUUGGAGGACUCAUCUGUUAAGAGUCAAGUUUUCAUGGUUGAACUGAAUUAGCAGUGGUAGGUUUUCCUGUGGUAGCAGCAGCAAGCAAAGGCAGGGUUUCACCAAGCACUCAGAAGAUGGUUUCUUUUGUGUGGAUACCUACGCGUUUACAAUCCUGUGCCCAUGCCUGCCCCCCUCCCCUGUGAUUUACUGAAUUUGGUUUAGAAGCAAUCUUUAUACAGAUGCUUAACGAUUUUGUGCUCUGAUGGUAUAGAAAUACAGUUUUCAGAUGAGAUGUGUCUCUAAGGAUGACGUUGGGAGUCACGGAGUUAUUACUCAAGUAGUAACAGUCAAUAAUAAUAAUAAUAACAGUCACUCCAGCGACUUGGAGGUACGAGUUAAUGAUUUCAUAUUGCAGUUUUAGAAGAUGUUUGUCUCUGAAGCCACGAGUUUCAACUGAGUUGCCAAAGGAAAGCAGCAGUUAAUUCAUGUUGCUCCAUCAUUAAUCUACAGAAAAUGAAAGUUCAGAUGGUCCUGGGAGUCUAGCAUAUCUUUGAAAGCUGAGUUCUUGCCUUUUCCUAGAAAAAUACUCCAGCUUUUAAAGUCAAUAAUUCAGCCGUCGGCAGGUGCCUGUCUCAUGCGAAAGAUGCGACGGUGAACGCAGGACAGCUCUGUGCUGUGUGUUAGUAUAGAACUGUAUUGUUCCGCCGCUGUGCCUUUGCUUUGUCAUUUCUCAGUUGAGCAGGGCCUCCAGCCUCCUGAAAUGUCAGCCUAGCCCGCAAACUUGUGUAUCUUUUCCUUUUGAUUACCUUGGUUGCCGGCCAGCCUCAUAUUUGACACGUCCAGCACAGGCAAUGGAGUUGCUUCUUGGUGUCGAGCUGUUAAUCUUUUUAUUAUUUCCUGUCACUUUUCCCCAUGAUUGAUCCUCUUGGGCCCAAGGCGGGGGGGUAGGGGGGUGGUGGAAUUAUGAAUAUGACUUUGACAACCACUUUGAAAAGGAGUAUUUUUUAUACUCCUUUGAAAAGGAGUAUAAAAGAACUUGGGUCUCACCUGAGACUAUAAAGCGAUAGAAAAAGCACAGUCUGUUUUGCAAUGCAGAACCUCAGCACCCAUUGAGCUAGGUUCCAUUGGAUGCUUUGUAGGAGAAGUGAAGAGGUUUUUCCUGGUGUUUUUGCAGUGACUCUGUGCCCAGGUGUGUGGGGUGAGGGUGAUGAGAGCUCACGGGUGGUCUGCAGUUUAGUUCUAUGGAAAGGCUACAGAACGGGGUCCUCCUUCCUUCAGGAUUAAAAAUAUGAUUCUUUUUGAGUUGUAGGCUUUCCCAUAUAUUCUCUCCCUGGUAUCCCCUCUACCUCGUGUGCGGUUCACUGAUUCUUGCUCCAGCUCUGCCCCCACCCCUGACCCACCCACUGGAAUUUGAGAAGAAAAUAAUAGAACCUCAGUUGUUCAUAUAUGUUUAGCUUGUCCUUCCCCACCCCCCCCCAUUUGUUACCAUUGUGGUAAAAAAGAAAGGUAUGAAAUUUGCUAUUGUGAUCCUUUCUAAGUGUGCGAUUCAGUGGCAUCACUUACAGUCACAGCGUUGCGCAACCGUCACCAUGGUCUGCUUCCAGCAUUUUUCAUCACCCCGAGCAGACACCCUGCAGUUGUUAAGCAAUAACUCCCCACAUCCACCUUUAGCCUCUAAUCCACUGUCUGUCUCCUAUCUGCCCUUUCUAGAUAUCUCAUAUGAGUGGGAUCAUACAAGAUAUGUCCUCUGAGGGUCUGGCUUGUUUUCAUUGGGCAUAAAGUUGUCAGAGUUCAUCCCUGCUGUGUCAUGCGCCACGACUUCAUUUCUUGUCAUGGCUGAAUAAUAUCCCAUUGUCUUCGUGGACUGCACUUUGUCCGUUCAUCGGGUGAUGGACAUUUGGGUUGGCUCCACAUUGGCUAGUUUGAAUAAUGCCGCUGUGAACAUGGUUAUAAAAGAGUCCAUGGAAUCCCUGGGUUCAGUUCUUUUGGGUAUAUGUAUAUGUAUGUACGUAGAUGUAGACGUGUGCGCAAGAGUGGACUUGCUGGGCCACGUGGUAGCUCCAUGUUUAACAUUUUGCAAAACUACUGAACUGGUUUCCACCAUGGCAGCACCAUUUUAUAUCCCCAAUAACAACACAUGAGGGGUCCAGUUUCUCCCCAUUUUUGCCAGCUCUUGUUAUUUACCUCCCCCGCCCCUUUUUUAAAGUAUUUUAAUUAGUUUAUUUGUUUGGCUGCUCCGGGACUUGGUUGCAUCACUCAGGAUCUUCGAUCUUAGUUGCAGCAUGCUGGACCAUGAGUUGCAGCGUGAGGAAUCUAGUUCCCUGCCCAGGGGUCAAACCCAGGCCCCUGCAUUGGGAGCUCGGAGUCUCAGUUACUAGACCACCAGGGAAGUCCCACCAUUUUCCAUUGUUUUAUUGUAACUUCCCUAGUGGAUCUGAAGUGGUGUGUUGUGGCUUUGAUUUCCGGUUCCCUGAUGACUGAGCGUCUUUUCAUGUGCCUAUUGGUCAGCUGUGUGUUUCCUUUGGAGAAAUACCUAUCAAGACCUCUACAUUGUCCAUUUUUAUAUAUGUUUUAUAACACCUAAUAAUAGUAUAUAGUUUAUAAACUAAAAUAUACAUAUGCUUGGAUAUAUGCAGUGUCUUUUUUAAAGAUGGAAGAUGUAUUUUUUAAAAGUUUGGAGACCAUUAUUAGGAACUGUAGCAAUGAUCUAUUUUAUUUCUUGGUGCCUAACCUUAGCAGGAAAAUAUCGAUGAUAAUUCCUAAGCUUUCUCGGGUGGGGUGAGGAGGGGUUGUGAAUCUUAUUUGGUCUAAUGUAAUGUGUUUACCGGAGCCUCCAUAUGAAACUAACCACAGGGUCCCAAGACUGUCUUUGGGGUUGUUUUCUUUUGGUACAUAAGAAAGUAGAUCUCUUUGGAUGGUUUUCAAGUUAGACUUGCCUCUGCUCAAUCCUAUUUUGUGGUUCAUAGUGGCAUUUUAGGGUUCUAGUGUAUCUUAUUAAGAGAUAGAGAUAGUUUUUCAUGCCAUGUCACAUAGGCGAGCCAGAAGGCCUAGAAUGAAUGAAUCGAAAGGGAGAGGCUUAGCUCUAAAAUAAUAAUAAUGAUGGUGAUGAUAACAAUUAUUUUUACUAUGUCACUUAUAAAACUAAUUUGAUUGUAUGAAAAGAUUAGCUUUGAGGUGUGGGGAUUGAACUGGCCUAUUUCGUGACCCAGUAAGAGUGUUUUAGGCCUUGGGGGUUGAUUUAAGAAAAAAAAAAGGUUGGUUGCCCUAUUGUUGUUCUCUUCUCUGAAAGUAAACUCUGUGCAGUUACCCUAAAAUGCCAACUUCUGUCAAGGGCAUGACAUCACCACCCUAGCACAUCCUGGUGCUUUUCUUGGAAAGUGUCCACACUGGCAGGCGUUUUCCAAAUAAAACAUUUGUGUCGGUAAACAAGUGUUUUACCCAGCAGCCCAAGUGGAGAAUUUUAAAACCAGUGUUUGUUUUGCCAGCAAACAUUUUGUUUCAAUCCUUGCAGCUAAACAAGUGGGUAGGAUUUAAGUGGCCUGCUAGUGAAAACAAAGGCAGAACCAUUCUCAGAAAACUUCAGCUGAGCAGAAAUCUAGCUGCUGUUAAGAGUGUGAGUUUAGACAUUUGGGGAAGUAACUGGUACCAUCUACUGAGUUCUGCACUUAGUGUUAGUCAGAGUGAAAGAUCUUCCAUUUGGGUAAAGGCUCUGAAUUUUCUUUUCUUUUAGAGGUGAAAGAUGAAGAAAUAUAAAAGAAUCCUUGAAAAGAUCAGUUUUGCGCAUUUCAGCGUUACAGCUCGCCUUUGAGUGCACCUAACCACCGUCAGGUGUUGGCCCUGCAUCUGCUCCCUCCUCUCUAGUUGUUUUGAUGGUAAUCCCAUCCUCCAGCUCCCAGAUUAAUCAUCAGCCUCUAUCUUGUGACUUUUAUGAAAAUGGUAGUAGUGUAAUCGGGCUUCAGGGAGCUAGUGUCACUUUUAUUUAGGGUCCCUUAUAAUUGAGCGGCCUAACAUCUUUAAUCUUUUGAAGUAUAUUUUUUAUAUUUGAAAGUUUGCUUGUGAUGUGCUAUUCUUUUUAAAAAGCAGCCCUCUUUUCCUGUUCAGGACGUAGGUACCUUCUUAAGAAGAUAGAAAUUAGAGAAUAGAACAUAUACGUCGAAGAGUGUAAAAAAUUACAGCUAUAUAUGUUUCAAUUAGCAAGUGGACGUGCACUAGCCCCCAUCCUGACUUAAGAAAUAGAAUAUGGCCUUGGAACGUCCUCUGUUUUGAAACCAUGUCCCUCUUCUGGCCAUAGAGAGUUUACAGCUGUGUAGUCAUCCUUAAACGACAUCAUUUCGCUUUGCAAGUGUUGGGUGUAUAUUACACUUUACUUGUUUUUUUCAUCAAUGAUAUAAUCUCAAGAUUUAACCACGUUGCUGCCUGUACCUGUGGUCCAUUCGUUGUCAUUGUUCAGGGUUGCUGCCUUAUUGAUGGACAUCUGAGCUGUUUCCAGCAUUUGACUCUUACUACAAAGGCUAUCAAGGACAUUCAUAUAUAUACAUAUUAUAUAUAUAUAUAUCCUAUUUAUAUAUAUUUACAUUUAUAUAUUUAUAUAUAGAGAGAGAGAGGUAGAUCCUAUUUAUUGUUGAUUAGUCCCUGACUCACGUCUAACUCUUUAUGACCCCAUGGACUGUAGCGUGCCAGGCUCCUCUGUCCUUGGGCUAUUACAGUGGGUUGCCAUUUCCUAGUACAGCGGUGCAGAAGUUUUUCUGGGAUGCGUGUGGUGUGGGCGGUGGAUUUGUAGGGUUGCAGGGUAUUUGUAUUUUUAAUUGUAUUUAAAUCUGCUUGAUAUUUUUUUAGCUUCAGUGUAAUUCCAACCUGUGUUCCAAAGUGUUUGGUUCAGUUUGCUCUUCUCACAGUGAAUGGAGCUCUUACUGUUCCACACAUUCAUCAGAAACCAAGUUCUGACACCAAGUUGUCAGACUUUGUCAUGUCUGCCAGGCUGGCAAAUAAGAAAUGGUGCCUUAUUCUGGUUUUGUUUUCCCCUGAUUCAUAAUAGGCUUAUAGUGGCCGUCUUGAUACCCUUUUUUUCAAGUAUUUUCCCAUUUUUCUGUGGAUUGUCUUUUUCUUCCUAAUCUGUAGACUUCUUUUAUAUGUUGUUUAAUAUAUAGACUUUCUGUAUAUAUUCCAUCCACACAGAGUGAGUCUGUGCCCGAUCACAGGUGUUGCAAAUGACUUCCCCUACUUUGACUUGUCUUUUUACUUCAUCCUUCGGAUGCUCACAAGCUCUUAAUUUUUUUAAAUUAUUUAUUUGGGUUGUUCUGUGUCUCUGUUGUUUCGUGGGCCGCUCUCUAGGUGUGAUGCACAGGCUUUUUUUAAAAAAAAAUUAGUUUGUUUGGGGUGUUCUGGUCUCUGCUGUUUCGUGGGCCACUCUCUAGGUGUGAUACACAGGCUUUUUUUUUUAAAUUAUUUGUUUAUUUGGGGUGUUCUGGGUCUCCAUUGUUUCGUGGGCCACUCUCUAGGUGUGAUGCACAGGCUUUUUAAAAAAUUAUUUAUUUGGGGUGUUCUGGGUCUCCGCUGUUGCGUGGGCCACUCUCUAGGUGUGGUGCACAGGCUUUUGACUGUGGCGGCUUCUAUUUCAGCGCCCGGGCUUUGGCACUCUGCAGCAUGUGGGCCCUUCCCAGACCAGGGGUCAAACCUGUGUCUCCUGCAUUGGCAGGCAGAUUCUUUACUACUGAGCCACCAAGGAAGCCCACAAACUCUUAAUUUCAGUAUUAUUUGAUUUCUCAGUGUUUUC